CUCUAACCCUUGGCUUGGAUUUGCGUUUAGCCUAGCCAUUGGAUGAUGUCGACAAAUCUGCUUUGUUUGCAUUGUAGAAAAUUCCGCUGCCUGUGUAGAUCUCACUGCUCCUAGGCAGUGAUUUGGUUUAUUAUUGUGUGAGGUGUUUCUGGGUACUGGAACAUGCUUGUUUCCUUGCAUUUCUGCUUCCUGUACUACUUUUCUCGUUCAUUCUUAUUUAUAAACACUCAAAUUGUUGGUUGUGCUUUAUGUUUAGGAUCUGUUGGUAAUGUGUGUAUCAAGAAUAAAAAUAAGAAUCAAGGUGUUAAGCGUACGUACAUGCAACAUUUAUCUCCUUUCCUCCUACAUGUAGCCAGCUUGUAGAACCAUGUUUUGUUGUUGCUGCUAAUUUGUUUCACAAUACCCUCGAUGCAAAUGGACAGACUUAUUACAAGUUGAAUUGUGUAUGCUCAAGUGCCCAGCAGGGUAUUUUAGAUGGCUGCUAUCUCGAAUCUUUUCUAAGUAUAUCAGCGUUUAGCUAUGCUGACCAUGAUUUGUUCUUGUCCGAGGAAAACACAAACUAAUCGACUCUGGUGGCCUUCUUCUUCGACUCCAUGUGCUUAGCAUGUAAAGAAAGAAAGAUUAAGAAGGAUGAGCCAGAUCCUUUAACUUUCUCUGUAUGCAUGUAAUCCAAUCGGUCUGGUGCAGAGGUGUUGGGACACGGCCGCCAUUGUGUGCCCUUGUGUCUAGCUCAAGUCGGUUCGAGAGUCUAGCGUGACCUGGAAAGCUGUCGCUGGCCAUGGCUUAUGUGUAACAAUUGCUGUUUCGGUCCUUGUAUUGUUUGGCCCAUGUAACAUCCUUCUUGUAAUGCUCCAAAAUAGGAGUUGUAAUAGUGAGUUGUUUACCUUGCCAUGUUUGUAGUCUUUGGUCACGAGUAAAAAAUGGGUUGUGCUCUUGGCA